UGCUUAGAAUGAAACAAAUCGUGUUUGUACGAUGCUAUGCCAAAACCAAAUAGCAAUAAUUUCAACUUACUAUCUUAUUUCUCGAUAUAUACAAUCAUUAUCUAUCCAUAGUAAGUUUAUCUAAUUACUUGGAACAAUUUCACAUCAAUUUAUACUUCAUUCGUUUUAAACAGCUUAUGAUCAAGAGUUGAUUAGAGUAAAGUGUAGUUGAAUAUAAACACAAAGUGUAAAAGAUGUGGAUUUAUUCCCUGCUCGCUCUUUUUGCGACGUUUGAUUUUGCGGCGGCCUCGUCUAGUUUUGAUUUUGGUGAUACCUUAGCAUUGAUACUCGGAUUAAUCAUCGGGAUAGUUGGAUUUUUUGCAUGUAUGGGUGCCUAUGCACGACGACAAAAUCUUUUGCAACGAUUAUGAUUGCACACGACUCCAGAAUUUGUCACAUAGAUAUCUAAGAUAUUUAAAAUUAAGGAAGAAAAUACCUCAAAUAACUGGAGUCAAGCAAUUCAAAUAAUGAUCUUACAAUAUUUUUAUAAAAAUACCUAUGAAAAUAAUAAAUCUUAAUUCUUUUUAAGUUGAUUCACGCAAUCUCUUGAUUAUAUGAAU